rfam:Phlebotomus papatasi Contig37134.1, whole genome shotgun sequence.
GCCUCUAUAGCUCAGUUGGUAGAGCACUCGUCUAGUUAAUGAGAGGUCUCCAGUUCGAUUCUGGGUGGAGGCA